rnacentral:rRNA from 1 species
GACGAACGCUGGCGGCGUGCCUAAUACAUGCAAGUUGAGCGCUGAAGGUUGGUACUUGUACCGACUGGAUGAGCAGCGAACGGGUGAGUAACGCGUGGGGAAUCUGCCUUUGAGCGGGGGACAACAUUUGGAAACGAAUGCUAAUACCGCAUAAAAACUUUAAACACAAGUUUUAAGUUUGAAAGAUGCAAUUGCAUCACUCAAAGAUGAUCCCGCGUUGUAUUAGCUAGUUGGUGAGGUAAAGGCUCACCAAGGCGAUGAUACAUAGCCGACCUGAGAGGGUGAUCGGCCACAUUGGGACUGAGACACGGCCCAAACUCCUACGGGAGGCAGCAGUAGGGAAUCUUCGGCAAUGGACGAAAGUCUGACCGAGCAGCGCCGCGUGAGUGAAGAAGGUUUUCGGAUCGUAAAACUCGGUUGGUAGAGAAGAACGUUGGUGAGAGUGGAAAGCUCAUCAAGUGACGGUAACUACCCAGAAAGGGACGGCUAACUACGUG